CUUCCACGUAGCAUCCCCAGGGAGGAGGAGACAAAAGAGGGGUCACCAGGAGCCCCCCAGCUCCCCGCUCCUGGACUCUGCCCUCACAGGUAGUCGUCCAGGGCACCGUGGAAAGAAGUAUCCAGGCUCAGAGAACCACAAUCGAUUAGCGAUGUCUGCCUGGGGCGCAGGAAGGACAAGUGGCCUCUUUUGACGUCUGCUGUUCUAGAUCCAGCACAAACUGUAUUCUGAGGAUGGGAAAACAGACCAAAGGAGGAGAAAAGAGCAUGCUGAGAUCUCGUUGCUAGUUCAUAGUAGAACCCAGAGGACGUUUGGCAAUGUCCGGAGACAUCUUUGGUUGCCACGGUGUGUGGGGGGUUGCACUGGCACCUGGCGUGUAGAGGCCCGGCUGCAGGGCCCUCACAGAGGCUGCUCCCAGUGUAGGAAGCACCAGCCUUCCACUCCAACCUCUCUGCCUGGUUAAUUCCUGCUCAUGCUCCUGACCUUACUACUUCCUCGGCCCUUCUUUACCCCUGCCCUCUUCCUAGCAUUUAGUAGAGUCUGUAGCUAUAUAUUUAUCUGUGAGGUUGUUUCAUGUCUGUCUUCCUCCUCUCACUGCGCUGGAAGUGUCCUGUAGGCAGAAGCAGUAUCUGUUUUGAUCAGUCCCAUAUUUUCAGUGUCUUGUAUUGUACCUGCAAACUACUAGGCUCUCCAUAAAUAUUUGUUGAAUGAACGAACAAAUGGAUGGAUGGAUGGAUG